CCUACGAGUGGCAGCAGUGAGGAAUAUUGGUCAAUGGACGAGAGUCUGAACCAGCCAAGUAGCGUGAAGGAUGACUGCCCUAUGGGUUGUAAACUUCUUUUAUAUGGGAAUAAAGUGCAGUAUGUAUACUGCUUUGCCUGUACCUUAUGAAUAAGGAUCGGCUAACUCCGUGCCAGCAGCCGCGGUAAUACGGAGGAUGCGAGCGUUAUCCGGAUUUAUUUGGUUUAAAGGGUUCGCAGGCGGAAGAUCAAGUCAGCGGUAACAUUGAGAGGCUCAACCUCUUCGAGCCGUUGAAACUGGUUUUCUUGAGUGAGCGAGAAGUAUGCGGAAUGCGUGGUGUAGCGGUGAAAUGCAUAGAUAUCACGCAGAACUCCGAUUGCGAAGGCAGCAUACCGGCGCUCAACUGACGCUCAUUCACGAAAGUGUGGGUAUCGAACAGGAUUAGAUACCCCAGUAGUC
rnacentral:rRNA from 1 species